AUCAAGAUGUCUGAAAAAAGUAUUAAAUUGUAAAUUUAUUUAUGAAUGUAAAAUUCUCUUGAUA
rnacentral:tRNA from 1 species